rnacentral:rRNA from 1 species
CCAAUAGCGUAUAUUAAAGUUGUUGCAGUUAAAAAGCUCGUAGUUGAAUUUCGGGGUCAGUAGAUUGGUCAUGCCUCCGGUAUGUACUGGUCUUACUGGCUCCUCCUUCCUGAUGAACCGUAAUGCCAUUAAUUUGGUGUUGCGGGGAGACUGGACUGUUACUUUGAAAAAAUUAGAGUGUUUAAAGCAGGCUAACGCUUGAAUACAUUAGCAUGGAAUAAUGAAAUAGGACGUUCGAUCUUAUUUUGUUGGUUUCUAAGAUUGACGUAAUGAUUAAUAGGGAUAGUUGGGGGCAAUAGUAUUCAAUUGUCAGAGGUGAAAUUCUUGGAUAUAUUGAAGACUAACUACUGCGAAAGCAUUUGCCAAGGAUGUUUUCAUUAAUCAAGAACGAAAGUUAGGGGAUCGAAGACGAUCAGAUACCGUCGUAGUCUUAACCAUAAACUAUGCCGACUAGGGAUCGGAUGAUGUUAAUUUUUUAAUGACUCAUUCGGCGCCUUACG